UACGUAGGGGGCAAGCGUUGUCCGGAAUCAUUGGGCGUAAAGCGCGCGUAGGCGGCUUGUCGCGUCGUUCGUGAAAACCCGGGGCUCAACUCCGGGCUUGCGGGCGAUACGGGCAGGCUAGAGUUCGGUAGGGGAGACUGGAAUUCCUGGUGUAGCGGUGAAAUGCGCAGAUAUCAGGAGGAACACCGGUGGCGAAGGCGGGUCUCUGGGCCGAUACUGACGCUGAGGAGCGAAAGCGUGGGGAGCAAACAGG
rnacentral:rRNA from 1 species